UACGAAGGGGGCUAGCGUUGCUCGGAAUCACUGGGCGUAAAGCGCACGUAGGCGGAUUCUUAAGUCGGUGGUGAAAGCCUGGAGCUCAACUCCAGAACUGCCUUCGAUACUGGCGAUCUUGAGUCCGGAAGAGGUGAGUGGAACUCCUAGUGUAGAGGUGGAAUUCGUAGAUAUUAGGAAGAACACCAGUGGCGAAGGCGGCUCACUGGUCCGGUACUGGACGCUGAGACGCGAAAGCGUGGGGAGCGAACAGG
rnacentral:rRNA from 1 species